rnacentral:rRNA from 1 species
UACGAGAGGCCCAGACGUUAUUCGGAUUUACUGGGCUUAAAGAGUUCGUAGGCGGUUCGGUAAGUGAGGUGUGAAAGCCCUCGGCUCAACCGAGGAAUUGCGCUUCAAACUGCCGGGCUCGAGGGAGAUAGAGGUGAGCGGAACUGAUGGUGGAGCGGUGAAAUGCGUUGAUAUCAUCAGGAACACCAGAGGCGAAGGCGGCUCACUGGGUCUCUUCUGACGCUGAGGAACGAAAGCUAGGGGAGCAAACGGG